GCCAUCUUACUCCUUGGUUUUGUGGGCUAUGUAAUCCCAGGUUUUGCCUGCUCACUGCAAGUAAUCCUGGGAAAUGCCUCUUCAUAGAAUUCUGCAAAUUAAAGUUCCUAUAUUUGCUUGCUCACUGCUGGCUGUCCUGGGAGACUCUUCCCUUAAGGAUUAUUGUUUAUUAUUUAAGAUAUGUUUGAAAGAUAGGCUUUGUGGUGAAUUGGCAGUACUGAGUAUACUGCUUUCUGACUCCUGUGAGCCACUUCAGAAAAAAGAAGGGACCUUUAAAUCUCACAUUUGUGUCCAAGUUGAACAAAGUUGAGGAUCAUUUGGAAACCUGUUACUUCAACUGUGACAGCUGCUUUCAUCUACAGUUUUCAGCGGACACAACAUCUUUGUUUGUAUGUGGUGCUGAGGAUUGAACCCGGGCCGCACGCAUGCCAGGAACCAUUGACAUUCAGGGAGGUGGCCAUUGAUUUAUCUGAAGAGGAAUGGAAAUGCCUGGACCCUGCUCAGCAGACUUUAUAUGGAAAUGUGAUGUUAGAGAUUUGUAGAAACCUGGUCUUUGUGGGUAUGUCUUCUCAUCAAAACCCAGAAUUUUUAGGAGAGCAGGAAAUAAAAUAUUUUUUGCAAAACUUGAUUAAGAGAAGAAAAUAAAAUAAAAUAAAGAUUACAGUGGAAGAGGUCUUGCUGUAGACAGGUUGAUUGGCAUCCUUGGAAGAUACACCCAUCUCUCAGAGGCUAUGUGGCUAUGUGUCUCCAAUGGCUCAUUCCAUCUCCAGUGCAGUGCUGAACUUACACAGAGCUAGGUAGGAUAUCACAUGUACUGGGCAGUCUCUAAACAGCAGUAUUGCCACUGUGAGUUCCUAAGAUACCAGACUUUCCUGCCUAAUGGCUUCCAUGUUUUUAUUUUACACACACUUCAGAGAUGUUUUCCAGCAUCUUCGUCUGACAUGCACUGCUUCAUCUUCCAUAGCAACAAGACUCCAAGAUGAAAUCCAAGAAGAUCGGUGCAUUUUAUGCUUUUGAGUGGGAUGAGGUUUGUUCUUAUUCAUAGCAGCAUUAUCUUUCCAUGUGUCAUACCCAGAGACUUCCCGGAUCAUACACAUGUCCCCAGUAAACUUAAUACUGUUGCCCUUAGAUUUUUCUGAGGCCCUAGUCUGGGCAUUCCAAGCCAUGUGCAACCAACAAAUUCAAAGUGUCUUCUGACUCAUUUCAGUGAGCUAAUUACAUACAGGGAUUUUUAACAAUAGCCACUUUGAUGGUAAUUUGAGCUGAAAGUUGAGAAGCCCAGCUGAGAUGCAACCCACACUUUGCCCUCAUGAGGGCUGCUUCAACUUGUUGUGGCCACAACCAUGGCCUGCACCUGCAGAGACCCCUGCCAACCAGAAGAAGGUGCUAGUGGGUCAGAAGUUUGGUGGCAUUGCCAGGAUGUGGGGCAUCUGCUGAGCUGGGGAGAGACAGCUGCACAUAUGCCAGUCACUUUUGAGAAUCUGUGUGCCUUUAAAUUAUCUGUGUAGCAUUUUUGGAAUCAUAUCCUUCCUCUAAAGAAUGGGAAAUUUGCUAUGGAGUCUAUUUUAUGCUUCAGUGAGUUACUGGAAUAUUUUGAAAUAUACCAUUGAGUAUAUAUCAUACUGGAUAAAAGCCACACAAAGGCAAAGAAUGUAGCAAAGAAUGUCCACAAAUAUUUCUGUAGAUUUUUUUAAAACAAAAGAAGAAGAAAUUCUCUAACUAUUAUCAGUCUGAUUGUUACUUUAUAAAAAGGAUUCAAUGAACAGUUUCUCCUUGUGCCAAUGCAUAUAAUUUGAAUGAAUGUGGGAAGAUUUGUACUUACCUACUAUUGCUUAAUCUAAAUGUAGAUAUAGAUACCUCUACAUUUAUGAUAAAUCUUUCAAGACCUGUAGACAGGUCUCUGCCCUAAGUAAAUAGCAAUAUAUAUGUUUUGGUGUAAAACAAUAAAAAUUGUGUGAAACUGAUAAAAAGUAAUCCUUUUUUAAGUCCUAGGAAACAUCUGUGUGAUCAUUUUAAAAAGCUUUAUAAAGAUAAAAGUGAGAACAUUUUUAAUCCAUGCUCAAAAAGUAUGGAACAAGAAGAAGUAUUGAACAAGCUUUCAAGAAAAUAAUUACAAAUAUAAGGAAUGUAAACAAGCUUUGAAUACAACUGAAAGUCUCAUUGAAUACCAGAGAUUUCAUACCAAAGAGAAGCCAUACAAACGUAAACAAUGUGGCAAAGCUUUUACUGUUAGGCAACAUCCUAUUGUGCACCAGAGAAUACACACUGGAGAGAAACCAUACAAAUGUAAAGAAUGUGGCAAAGCUUUUAAUCAAAGAUCACAUGUUACACAACACCAGAGAAUUCAUACUGGAGAAAAGCCAUACAAAUGUAAAAAAUGUGGCAAAGCCUUUACUUAAAGCUCAAGCCUCAUUAUUCACCAGAAAAUUCAUACUGGAGAAAAGCCAUACCAAUAUAAAGAAUGUGGGAAUGCUUUUACUGUUAGGCAAAACCCUAUGUAAAGAAUGUGGCAAUGGUUUCAUUCGAAGAUCAGACCUUAUUCAACACCACAAAAUUCAUACUGAGUAAAAGCCAUAAAAAUGCAAAGAAUGUGGGAAAGCUUUUCCUAUUAGACAAAGCCUUAUUUUUCAGAAAAAAAAUCAUACUGGAUAAAAGCCACACAAAGGCAAAGAAUGUAGCAAAGUUUUAAGUAUGCUUCAACUGAUACCAAGUACCAGAUAAUUCGUACUUGAGACAAUCCUUACAAAUCUAUAGAAUGUAAAAAUCAUUUGUUGUGAGGUAAUUGAUCACCUGUUGCAGUGAUUCACGUGCAGGUCAGCAUGAGAAAGAAAGAAGAAGCAGAGCAAGCAAAGCAGCAGCAGAAAAAAAAGUCCUUUAUUGUGUACAGCCAUCUUUUUAUAGUAUUGUGACCAAAGAAGGCAGCCUUCCAGCAUCAAUAAAUCAGGUCUUUCAGCUAAUUAAACAUAGCACACAGAAGUUUUACUUUCUAAUCAGAAGUGACCCCUUCUCAUGGCUAAUCUACUCUCGGCCCGGAGUAUGUUGAACUCUGCUCUUUGUUAAGAACAGAUAAUAAAAUUUUUCUCAGCGCCCUCCUAGCCCACUUGGCAGAACAUCCCGUUCGCAGGCAAGUCCUCCCAAGGACAGCAGACACCUCGUUUUCAAGCAUGUCCGCUGUUACCUAUCUAUACCUUGACAGAAUAUCCUGUUUGCAGGCAGACUCCAUCAAGGACAGUAAUAGUAAUGCAGUCACAUCUGAUUCUGUACAAUCAUCAGAGAAUUCAAACUGGAAAGAAAACAUACAAUUGCAAAAUAAAAAUAUUGAAAGUUUUUAAUCAAAACUCAACUUUUCUAAAAUAUCAAAAAUAUAGCAGUAAUUGCCCCACAGAUGUAAAAAAUGUGACAAAGCUUUUAAUGAAUGCUCCCAACUUACAAAUCUGCACAGAUUUAGUAUUCAAAAUAAGCCCUGUACGUGUCAAGAACAUAUCAGUGCUUUACUCAAACCUAAAAAAAAAUACUACCUAAAAACCAAAUACAUAAAAUGUCUGCAUAAAACUCUGUAACAUGCAUGCCUUACAUAUCAAGAAAAUAUUUAUUACUGAGGAAAAUGUUGAUAUGUGGGAAGUAGAGCAAAAUCACAAUGCUCCAUACAUUUCUGAAUAUGAGUAAUUAUCAGAGAGAAUAUUUGAAUUUAUAGAGUGUGCAAUACUUUUGAAUAGUUGCUCAAAAUUUACCGGACAUUAGUAGUUGAUGUGAUAGAAAUAAGGAACUCCUUAGAUAUCAGCAUAGUACAGACAUUAUCACUGAGAAGAUAUUUAUUAUGAAUCAAAAAAUUAAUAAAUACGCUCAAGUCUUGAAACCUUGAUAAAAGUAUAAAUUUCCUCUGGCUAAUUAUAUCAAAGUUGAAGGACAGAUUAAUGAGAUUUUUAAAGAGAG